rnacentral:rRNA from 1 species
AACGAACGCUGGCGGCAGGCUUAACACAUGCAAGUCGAACGCCCCGCAAGGGGAGUGGCAGACGGGUGAGUAACGCGUGGGAACAUACCCUUUCCUGCGGAAUAGCUCCGGGAAACUGGAAUUAAUACCGCAUACGCCCUACGGGGGAAAGAUUUAUCGGGGAAGGAUUGGCUCGCGUUGGAUUAGCUAGUUGGUGGGGUAAAGGCCUACCAAGGCGACGAUCCAUAGCUGGUCUGAGAGGAUGAUCAGCCACAUUGGGACUGAGACACGGCCCAAACUCCUACGGGAGGCAGCAGUGGGGAAUAUUGGACAAUGGGCGCAAGCCUGAUCCAGCCAUGCCGCGUGAGUGAUGAAGGCCUUAGGGUUGUAAAGCUCUUUCACCGAUGAAGAUAAUGACGGUAGUCGGAGAAGAAGCCCCGGCUAACUUCGUG